CAUUUUUCCCCCCAACACAUCUUGUGUUGCAGCUAAUACUAGAAAUUCAAUGGUCGACUCAUACUUACAGUGUUAGAAAAAUAAGAUUCUGACUAUGAAGCAAAAAUUGUUUUAGGUUGGAGAAGUAGAUAAUAGUAAGAAUAAGGAGUUUUGCAAAAGCCAAGAGCCUUCAGAUGGUCAGAGAAAGUAUCUAAUGCUGAAAGACAGAGAGCUGAAUAAUGUCAUCAAAAUCUGCCUUUUGUCUCGUGCUGCUACAGCUAUUUUUCCCGAUGUUUACACUACCUGCUACACAUACAGGUACCAGGGGAGCUUUUAGAAAUGCCAAUGGCAAGGACUCCACCACAGAUGAAUUAAAUCAGAAUGACCAGGGACCUGGGCAUCACUAUUUGAGAGCUACCCAGAGGAUUCUGAUGUACAGCAAGAGCUCUUUAGGCCUUGCUGAUUGGCAUAUUCUUGGAGAACAGAGAAAUAUAUAGCAAAACUCUUCCAGAAACUUGGAAUUUGUAGGGAGGGGAAAGCAUGGAGGCUUCUCUGGAUAAGCCUGUUCGAGAAGAGGAAUUAACUCAAUUUACGAGUAAAGAAACUGAGGCUAAACUGUUAUUCAAGACCACACAGCCAACUGACCCACACACUCUGAACCCAGUCUGUGUUCUAUCUAAGACUUCACACUACCUUACUCAGAGUUUAUCUACCUGAAAAUAAUGUUCAAAGCAGUAAUCUAAGGUAUCACUAUUUAUACCAAAACGAUAUCACACAACCUGUAUCUAAAAGUCUUCACAACAGAUAUAUCUUUGGUAAGGAGGGGGACCUAAUACUACUUACCAAUGACCCUGCCUUUGUAACAUGCAAAUUUUGUUUGUUUGUUUUACCUUUUCAGUUUUAUUAAACUGAGAUCAGAAAAAUCCUCAUCUUUUUAAUAGUUUAUGGUCAUUUAAUUUUAUCAUGAACCUGCAGUAAUGCUUACUAUAUUUACAAAUCACUAAGUGAAAUUUUUAAAACCAUUUUCCUCCUCUAAUCUCUCCCAUCCUGCCUUCUUAGAAGUACACAAAGCAUUUCAACCACUCCCAAAUUCCCUCUUGUAAUACCCUUAACGAUUCUGAAAUAUUUUGUUAUUCCCCAAACACCGCCCUAAAGACAAAUCAUUGGACUCCAGACUCUUUGCACUGCCAAGUUGAAUAGAGUUCAAAUGUUCUAUCUAACCAAACUCUAACUUACAACAAAGACACAUAUAGUAGAUGAUGUGUAAGGUAUUCCGAAAAUACCAGGGCAACAGAAAAAAAAAAUCUGUCAUCAAGAGGUCCUCCCAGAACUUCUUGUAAUCUGGAAUAGUCAUUUUUAUCAAUAUCCUUUAACCUGAUCAUUACACACAUUUGUAUAUCCAUAUAACUAACAAGUCAAGUUUCAUUUUAGUAAUGUAUAGCUAAGAUUUCUCACAACCAAAACAAUAAAUACUUCAAAAUUUAUGAUUCUUUUCUCCACUUUAGAUGUCAGAGCAUGCAUAAGGACUUGAGGGGAAAACAAAACAAGGAAAACAAUCUUAGCCUGAUAAAAUAAAAAAUUUAAAUAAAAUUAUAAAUCAUUUAAAAUAUAGUCUUUCUUUUUGAACUAACCAUACUAAAACAUGAUAUGAAACAGAGCACAAAUAAGGUAGUAUCCAAAAAGAUAUAGGAUCUAUUAGGAUUUCCUUUUAUGUUAAAAAAAAAAAAAGGCCCAUGGAAGGACAGUUUUCAGGAUGACCCAAGCAAAGCCAGGCACCUCUUCUACUAGAAUCUUCACCAAAAUGCACACUCCCUUGACCCUGCAGUUUUGAUUUCAGACCCAUUUCUUGCCCAAGUUUACUAGGAGUUUUCCUCAGCUUCAAGCCCAUCCCACUGAGAAGACCUCUGGAGACAUUCAAUAUUUGAAGUAAGUUCCGCCUUCAGAUUAUUUUCAGAAACAUAAGAACAUCAAAGCAAACUGUGUAAAGCCACAUAAGAAUGGUUGAAUUUAAAUUUUUUCAAAUUAUAAGCACCGUGAAGACAAGGAUCUCCUUUUCCCUAUUACUAUUGCAUUACUUAUACCUGGAAUAAUGCACAGCACAUAGCAGACACUUAAUAAAUUCAGUACUUGUAAGAAUGAGGCAGUUCUACAAAUCUC